rnacentral:lncRNA from 1 species
UUUCUUUAUUGUCGAGCUAUCAUUUGACAAAAAAUUGAUUGGAAAAGACCCCAAUUCACCGUCUUUUGUUUUCCUCUUUUCUUCUUUUUUUCGGCCAAUUUGCCACCAGUAUUUGUCAUGAAGGGCUUAGUCUCUCCUCUCCAUUGGUGCCUAACUAGAUUCUGGAGCUCCAGUUGCUGGUGAGUGGGCUAAGACUCAAGAACAAUAGAGCCAAAGGAGUUCGGUCCUAUUUUUUGUUGAUUUCCACUGGUCAAUCACCGCCAUUGACCUUGUCCAUUGCCCGCCAUUGCCGCUUGCUACCACCUCAUCGAACCACCAUGAUCUACCCCAU